rnacentral:rRNA from 1 species
AACGCACAUUGCGCCUAUUAGUAUUCUAGUAGGCAUGCCUGUUCGAGCGUCAUUUCAACCCUUAAGCCUAGCUUAGUGUUGGGAGUCUACGGUAAAACGUAGUUCCUCAAAGACGUUGGCAGAGCUCGGUCGAUCUCUCAGCGUAGUAAUUUUCUCUCGUUGUGGAAGACGGUCGGGCGAUCGCCAGGAAACCUUUAUUCUUUUAAUGGUUGACCUCGGAUCAGGUAGGAAUACCCGCUGAACUUAAGCAUAUCAAUAAGCGGAGGAAAAGAAACCAACAGGGAUUGCCUCAGUAACGGCGAGUGAAGCGGCAACAGCUCAAAUUUGAAAUCUGGCCUAGCCCGAAUUGUAAUUUGCAGAGGAUGCUUUUGGUGAGGUGCCUUCCGAGUUCCCUGGAACGGGACGCCAUAGAGGGUGAGAGCCCCGUACGGUUGGAUGCCGAGCCUCUGUAAAGCUCCUUCGACGAGUCGAGUAGUUUGGGAAUGCUGCUCUAAAUGGGAGGUAAAUUUCUUCUAAAGCUAAAUACCGGCCAGAGACCGAUAGCGCACAAGUAGAGUGAUCGAAAGAUGAAAAGCACUUUGAAAAGAGGGUUAAAUAGCACGUGAAAUUGUUGAAAGGGAAGCGUUUAUGACCAGACAUUACCCGGUAAGGAUUACCCUCCGGGUGAGGCC